GACGAACGCUGGCGGCGUGCUUAACACAUGCAAGUCGAGCGGAGCGGCGAACGGGUGAGUAACGCGUGGGUAACCUGCCCUUAAGUCUGGGAUACCAUUUGGAAACAGAUGCUAAUACCGGAUACUAAAGGAUGGACCUGCGAUGCAUUAGCUAGUUGGUAAGGUAACGGCUUACCAAGGCGAUGAUGCAUAGCCGACCUGAGAGGAUGACCAGCCACACUGGAACUGAGACACGGUCCAGACUCCUACGGGAGGCAGCAGUGGGGAAUAUUGCACAAUGGGCGCAAGCCUGAUGCAGCCAUGCCGCGUGUAUGAAGAAGGCCUUCGGGUUGUAAAGUACUUUCAGCGAGGAGGCGUUACUCGCAGAAGAAGCACCGGCUAACUCCGUGCCAGCAGCCGCGGUAAUUC
rnacentral:rRNA from 1 species